rnacentral:rRNA from 1 species
UACAGAGGGUGCAAGCGUUAUUCGGAAUUAUUGGGCGUAAAGAGCGCGUAGGCGGUUUGAUAAGUCUGGUGUGAAAUCCCUGGACUCAAUUCAGGAAGCGCAUUGGAUACUGUCAGACUUGAGUGCAGGAGAGGUGAGCGGAAUUCCCGGUGUAGAGGUGAAAUUCGUAGAUAUCGGGAGGAACAACAGUGGCGAAGGCGGCUCACUGGACUUUAACUGACGCUGAGGCGCGAAAGCGUGGGGAGCAAACAGG